CCUGACCCCAUGCCGAACUCAGAAGUGAAACGCCGUAGCGCCGAUGGUAGUGUGGGGUCUCCCCAUGUGAGAGUAGGGAACUGCCA
rnacentral:rRNA from 1 species